rnacentral:rRNA from 1 species
AUUGAACGCUGGCGGCAGGCCUAACACAUGCAGGUCGAGCGGAUGAAGGGAGCUUGCUCCUGGAUUCCGCGGCGGACGGGUGAGUAAUGCCUAGGAAUCUGCCUGGUAGUGGGGGAUAACGUCCGGACACGGGCGCUAAUACCGCAUACGUCCUGAGGGUGAAAGUGGGGGAUCUUCGGACCUCACGCUAUCAGAUGAGCCUAGGUCGGAUUAGCUAGUUGGUGGGGUAAAGGCCUACCAAGGCGACGAUCCGUAACUGGUCUGAGAGGAUGAUCAGUCACACUGGAACUGAGACACGGUCCAGACUCCUACGGGAGGCAGCAGUGGGGAAUAUUGGACAAUGGGCGAAAGCCUGAUCCAGCCAUGCCGCGUGUGUGAAGAAGGUCUUCGGAUUGUAAAGCACUUUAAGUUGGGAAGAAGGGCAGUAAGUUAAUACCUUGCUGUUUUGACGUUACCAACAGAAUAAGCACCGGCUAACUUCGUG